rnacentral:rRNA from 1 species
UACGUAGGGACCGAGCGUUGUCCGGAAUCAUUGGGCGUAAAGAGCGUGUAGGCGGCCUUUUAAGUCCUGCGUGAAAUCCUGCGGCUCAACCGCAGACGGUCGUGGGAAACUGGAAGGCUAGAGUGCGGGAGAGGAGAGUGGAAUUCCCGGUGUAGCGGUGAAAUGCGCAGAUAUCAGGAGGAACACCGGUGGCGAAGGCGGGUCUCUGGGCCGAUACUGACGCUGAGGAGCGAAAGCGUGGGGAGCAAACAGG